ACGAAGGGUGCAAGCGUUACUCAGAAUUACUGGGCGUAAAGGGUGCGUAGGUGGUUUUUUAAGUCUGCUGUGAAAUCCCCGGGCUCAACCUGGGAAUGGCAGUGGAUACUGGAAAGCUGGAGUGCGGUAGAGGAAGGUGGAAUUCCCGGUGUAGCGGUGAAAUGCGCAGAUAUCAGGAGGAACACCAAUGGCGAAGGCAGCACUCUGGGACGGUACUGACGCUGAGACGCGAAAGCGUGGGGAGCAAACAGGA
rnacentral:rRNA from 1 species